rnacentral:rRNA from 1 species
GACGAACGCUGGCGGCGUGCUUAACACAUGCAAGUCGAACGGAAAGGCCCUGCUUUUGUGGGGUGCUCGAGUGGCGAACGGGUGAGUAACACGUGAGUAACCUGCCCUUGACUUUGGGAUAACUUCAGGAAACUGGGGCUAAUACCGGAUAGGAGCUCCUGCUGCAUGGUGGGGGUUGGAAAGUUUCGGCGGUUGGGGAUGGACUGGCGGCUUAUCAGCUUGUUAGGGGGGUAGUGGCUUACCAAGGCUUCGACGGGUAGCCCGCCUGAGAGGUGGACCGGCCACAUGGGGACUGAGAUACGGCGCAGUCUGGUACGUGAGGCAGUAGGGGGGAGUAUUGCACAAUGGGCGGAAGCCAGAGACAGCAACGCCGCGUGCGGGAUGACGGCCUUCGGGUUGUAAACCGCUUUGGCCGGUACCGAGGCGGUAGUGACGGUAAUGGGUAAAGAAGCACCGGCUAACUACGUG